rnacentral:lncRNA from 1 species
CUUAAUCCCAUCUACUAGGUGAUUACAAAACUCAUUCAAAGUUGAACACAGUAGAGGUAUUUCAAGUUGCUUUAGAGAGAGAAUUACACACACACAAAAAAUCUUUAGGAGCCAGACAACCACUGUGGACACCAAUAAGAGAGCUCCAACAUUGGUGAGGUAUAGACCCGUCAAAGUUGUUGGUAAUAACAGCAAGGUCCAUCUGGCAAGAUUGGUCACCUGUGGUGGAAGUGGUGGUGACAGCAGGGAUGCAACUGCAGCAAUCAAUGAUGAUGAUCUCACUAGGGUGGGGAGGUGUUAAAGGCAUCUUCACAGCAGCACAGUGCCCAGAAUGCCAAAGAGCAGCAGGAUGGAUCCAGCAUCCUCUCCUGAUAAAAGAGGGCUAGAAGACGGGAGGCUCCGGGAAGUCUACUGGAACGCCAGAAGUGCCAAGCAAUUAACAACCCCAGAAGCAACCCUUAACCAAUGAUUAAAUAAAGUGGAUGAUUACAUACCCAAGCUCCUUCAACUCCCAGGGACAUAAUUCUGAGGUGGGUGUAUGUUUAUCCCUUUUUCAAGAACUUCCCCGAAGGAUUAAGCUUCAGUCACCCACUGGGAUGGAAAACAAACUGAAACUGGCUCAAGUGAAUGCUCACUGGAAGGCUUACUGGAAAACUUACUGGAAGGAUGUGAGGACAUGUUCGGGAAUCUAUUUGCAGAAAACAUAUUCAGCCCUGUCCACCACAGCCAGCUGGCUGAAGAGCUCAAAAGGCAAGAAAUCAGCAAGAGAGAGAGAUGAAGCAUGAGAAAUGAGCAAAAAACACCCAGCACAUCAUAAUCUUGGACAGUUUAGCAGUACAUGAAAAUAGAUGGUCCUCGCCCCAAGGGACUGCAGUAACCCUGAAUAAACAGGAUGUCUCUCACUUUUAGCAGUUCUUUCUGUGCUAGUAUUGGGGAAAUAUAUUUUUGGCUGCAUGCAAAAUGGUAAAAGACAUCUAUUAAGAAAAUGAAAACAAUGCUUCUGUUUUAGACGAAGCUUUUGAAGGUUUAAGGAUCACCUAUUUAUUGACAAAAUUGUUUCCGUGGCUUAAAAAUAAAAUACAAACAAAUACUACAGGUAUUCUUGCCUUCUCAUUCUACUUAAAAUCACAUUUCCAAAGACUUUCUUCUCUACUUAAAAACAGGAAUUAAGAAAUACUCAAAAGAGAUCCUAGACAAAACUAACAUUUCAGCAACCAAAGAUAAAUCAUGCUUUUAGAGGAAGAUGCUAGGUUCUAGAAUCUCUCUGAACACCGUGUAGCACUAAGAAACUACAAUCACUGGCUGAGACCUUGAUCAAAUAAUGGCUAACAUAUAAGAUGCUUAUUCUAGUCAGGCACACUUCUAAGAGCUGUAUAUCUGCUAAUUCAUUUAUUCUCCUAGGAUAUAAAGGAUCAGCAGAUCCUUCAGGCUCUGGUAUGUUCUGAGAUGAGUUAACCCAGAAAUUGUCAUCAAAAGACAGAUUCAGCAAAACGGAAA